UGUUUCCUUUCUUUAAAAGGUACGGAAGAGGAUCCUUCUCCUUCUCCAAACUCAUCAACGGCAUCACCACCAGAUUCUCCACAGAGUUUGAGUUGAAGGAGCUCAAACAAUUCAAAGAAGACAACCUCCAUGUUGGAUUUGGCUCCGCCACCUUGGGCUUGGAGCAGGCGAUAGAGAAGACCACAGCCAACAUCAGAUGGGUGACGGAGAACAAAGCUCAUGUGCAGAAGUGGUUCAUUGAAGAGUCACAUGACAACACUUAGACACUCACAAUUACUCUUUGGUUUUUGUAGUCAGGGAUACGUAAUGAAUGACAAUCACUAUAAUCAUCUUUUUCUUGGUAACAGUUGCGCAAAGACGACCCACACACUUACCUCACUGGUCAUCAUGUGUCACUAUAUAUCAUGGCUGUACAUAUAAAGUUGAACUGUCCAGUCUGUGAUUACCAGAAGAAAAGCAUUGGAACAAAUAGUUUUAUAACAUUUCGUUUUAUACUUUUGUCUUUUUCUUUUCUUCACAUUCGAUGUGUCUGCUUACUAUGAUGCAUGUAAUGCAUUUAUACCAUCAACAGGAUGAGGGUCAGUGUUCAAUGAUAACCUUAAUCAUGACGUUAACUUCAUGUAUAGAUUAUAACACAUUAUAAACAAGCUUUGAAUGCAUUAUAGACAUGGGUGUUACCAACGUUUUUAACAAUCCUGCAGCUUCUUCAAGUCAUUCUCAACACAGGAUGUCUUUUACUUUGAAAAUCCAUUUUGCCUUCUAUGCUGCUUCUUGUCUUUUUUUAAAUUAUUGAUCAUUAGAUCAUAAAUCAUUGCAUCACAUAGUAAAAUAAGUGUCUGCUAAGACCAUGGGAAGAAUGACCUGAGGAAGGACCUGAUGCCUGCGUCUUCUUCUCGGGUCUCUUUCUGAUGAGAAGCUGCUUGUGUGUGUUCAACACUUACAUUUGGAGAUGGACUGAAAGUAAGUUAAUUAAAGAAUCCACAUAAACUGUG